UUACCUCAGUAACGGCGAGUGAAGCGGUAACAGCUCAAAUUUGAAAUCUGGCCUCACGGUCCGAGUUGUAAUUUGUAGAGGAUGCUUCGAGCAUGGUCUGGCCUAAGUUCCUUGGAACAGGACGUCAUAGAGGGUGAGAAUCCCGUAUGCGGCCAGGUGCCUACGCUCAUGUGAAGCUCCUUCGACGAGUCGAGUUGUUUGGGAAUGCAGCUCAAAAUGGGUGGUAAAUUUCAUCUAAAGCUAAAUAUUGGCCAGAGACCGAUAGCGCACAAGUAGAGUGAUCGAAAGAUGAAAAGCACUUUGGAAAGAGAGUUAAACAGUACGUGAAAUUGUUGAAAGGGAAGCGCUUGCAACCAGACUUGCGCGCGGCCGAUCAUCCGGUGUUCUCACCGGUGCACUCGGCCGUGCUCAGGCCAGCAUCGGUUUUGGCGGCUGGAUAAAGGCCCUAGGAAUGUAGCUCCUCUCGGGGAGUGUUAUAGCCUAGGGUGCAAUGCAGCCUGCUGGGACCGAGGACCGCGCUUCGGCUAGGAUGCUGGCGUAAUGGUUGUAAGCGGCCCGUCUUGAAACACGGACCAAGGAGUCUAACAUCUAUGCGAGUGUUUGGGUGUCAAACCCAUACGCGUAAUGAAAGUGAACGGAGGUGAGAACCCUUAAGGGUGCAUCAUCGACCGGUCCUGAAGUUUACGGAAGGAUCUGAGUAAGAGCAUAGCUGUUGGGACCCGAAAGAUGGUGAACUAUGCCUG
rnacentral:rRNA from 1 species